UACAGAGGUCCCAAGCGUUGUUCGGAUUUAUUGGGCGUAAAGGGUGCGUAGGCGGUCGCCUAAGUCAGGUGUGAAAUCUCGGGGCUCAACCUCGAAACUGCACUUGAUACUGGGUGGCUAGAGUACUGGAGAGGAGACUGGAAUUUACGGUGUAGCAGUGAAAUGCGUAGAUAUCUGGAGGAAUACCGGUGGCGAAGGCGGCAUCCUGGACCAUAACUGACGCUGAGGCGCGAAAGCUAGGGGAGCAAACGGG
rnacentral:rRNA from 1 species